rnacentral:misc_RNA from 1 species
UCACUCCCGGUUACACGUGGUCCCAUAACCUUAAAUCUCGUCAACCACGAAUUGUGCUACCAUAUUGAGAAUUGUGGAUCCUGAUGGCCGAAAUAUUGUUAUGGAAACAUUCAAUUUACGUUGGCCAUUACUAUUAACGUAGACACAUAUUUACUGUAUAAACGAUUUCUAGAAUAUUUAUCGAUGUACACUUGCGCGCGUCUCAGCACUUUUAUUCAUACCCGACCUUUUGAAGACUGUUAACCGAUAGAACUGUUUACAUUCGUCUGUUUCUCAGUCGCCGCGCACACACAUAUCUCCACACAGUGAUAUCCCGUUACAAAGAUCUCCACUACGCACUGGACCUAGUCCAGCACAAAAAUUACACAUAUCUCCACACAGUGAUAUCCCGUUACAAAGAUCUCCACUACGCACUGGACCUAGUCC